UUCAUAUGUCUUCAGCCUGGUGUAGCUA
rnacentral:piRNA from 1 species